AUUAAUCUUUUAUUCAUUAAAAUAAACCUAAAUUCUAUCGACAAAACAAAAAUUAAAAAAAAGUUGGGUAUCUGGUACCAAAUAUGUACCGAUUGCUGUAUCAAAUAUAAAAAAAAAUUAUACUCGGUGCAUACCGUUCACGUACCUGUAUCCGAUACCGGUACUUUACCUAAAAUGGAAUUACCGUGCUUCAUUGUUUGUAAACCACCUUGC
rnacentral:lncRNA from 1 species